AUGGCGGCGGCAGUGGCUGCGAGCGUCGGCAGGAAGCGCAAGUGCGAAGAGCUGUCUGCGCCUGAGCUUGGGCAGCUCCACGAGGACAUGCUCGAGCGCGUCCUCGCGCGCCUCCCGCCCUCCAGCUUCUUCCGCCUCCGCGGCGUGUGCCGGCGCUGGCGCGAGGCCGCGGGGUCGCCUGCCUUCCUCGCCGCCUGCGCGCGCGUCCCCGCCCGGGACCCGUGGUUCCUCAUGCUGUCCGACCAACAGGAGGAGCAGCGCCCUCCCUGCCCCGCCGUCGCGUUCGACGCCGCCGAGAAGACCUGGGCGCGGUGCCGUGGCGCCCCUGGCCCCGUGCCGGUGGCCGCGGCGGGCGGGCUCGUGCUCUACCGCGCACCUGAAACCGGCGCGCUCACCGUGGCCAACCCGCUCAGCGGCGUCUCCCGGGCGCUCCCGCCGCCGCCUCCGGCCGCAACAGUCGCGCUCUACGCCGUGGCCAUGUACGGAUCACCCUACCGCGUGGUCCUCAUCCUGGGCGAGCUUCCGCGCCUGUCCAUGACGGUGUUCGACUCCUCCAAGAACGCGUGGGAGAACGCCGUGCCUCUGUCGCGGAAGACAGAGGCCUCGCCCGCGGAUGCGCAAGCGCCGCACGACGACGACGACAUUGACGAGGACAUGGACGGCGACGGCGACGGCGCGGUCUAUUACCUCAGCAAGUCCGGCGACGUGAUGGUGUCCAGCACGCAGCGCAGCGCGUCGAGGCAGUACUCGUCGGCUGUGACGUGCCGCAGCGAUGGCGGCGAGGCCGUGGCCUACUUCCUGAGCCACUCGGGCGCGGUCGUGGCGUGCGACCUGGCGCGCCGCGUUUUCACCGAGCUCCCGCGUAUCCUGCCGAUGCACUUCGAGUACUCGAUCGACGUGGUGGCGUGCGACGGCCGGGCCUACGUGGUGGUCCUCUCGGAGUACCUGGACACGGCGACCCUGCGCCUCUGGGAGUUCUCGGACGGCGCGUGGCGGCAUGUAGCUGCGAUGUCCCCGGCCAUGUCGCACGCCUUCUACGGCAAGAAGGCCGACGUGAACUGCGUGGGGCACGGCGGGCGCGUGAUGGUGUGCGUCAGCUCCGGCGACGCGGACGCCAACGGGUGCUUCAUGUGCGACGUGGGGAGCAACGCGUGGGAGGAGCUGCCGCGGUGCGCCGGCGGCGACGGCGAGGCCAUGGACUUCGUGGCCGCCUUCUCCUUCGAGCCGAGAAUGGAGGUCGCCGUCUGA
rnacentral:rRNA from 1 species